rnacentral:rRNA from 1 species
GAUGAACGCUAGCGGCAGGCUUAACACAUGCAAGUCGAGGGGUAACAGGGGUGCUUGCACUCGCUGACGACCGGCGCACGGGUGCGUAACGCGUAUAGAACCUACCUUUUACAGAGGGAUAGCCUUUAGAAAUGAAGAUUAAUACCUCAUAGUAUUGAGAGUUGGCAUCAACUUUUAAUUAAAGAUUUAUCGGUAAAAGAUGGCUAUGCGUCCUAUUAGUUAGAUGGUAAGGUAAUGGCUUACCAUGACUAUGAUAGGUAGGGGUCCUGAGAGGGAGAUCCCCCACACUGGUACUGAGACACGGACCAGACUCCUACGGGAGGCAGCAGUGAGGAAUAUUGGACAAUGGGUGAGAGCCUGAUCCAGCCAUGCCGCGUGCAGGAAGACUGCCCUAUGGGUUGUAAACUGCUUUUAUACAGGAAGAAACACUCGGACGUGUCCGAGCUUGACGGUACUGUAAGAAUAAGCACCGGCUAACUCCG